AGAGUUUGAUCAUGGCUCAGAAUCAACGCUGGCGGCGUGCCUAACACAUGCAAGUCGAGCGAGAAAAGGGGAGCAAUCCUCUGAGUAAAGCGGCGCACGGGUGAGUAACACGUGGGUAAUCUGCCCUGAAGUGGGGAAUAACACCGGGAAACCGGUGCUAAUACCGCAUAUGAUCACGGUGUCUGCGGACACAGGGAUGAAAGGAGCAAUUCGCUUCAGGAGGAGCCCGCGGCUGAUUAGCUAGUUGGUGAGGUAAUGGCUCACCAAGGCUACGAUCAGUAUCCGGUCUGAGAGGACGGUCGGACACACUGGAACUGAGACACGGUCCAGACUCCUACGGGAGGCAGCAGUGGGGAAUUUUUCGCAAUGGGGGCAACCCUGACGAAGCAACGCCGCGUGGAUGAUGAAGUAUCUCGGUACGUAAAACCCUUUCGACAGGGAAGAAACCGCAAGGUUGACGGUACCUGUAGAAGAAGCCCCGGCUAACUCCGUGCCAGCAGCCGCGGUAAUACGGGGGGGGCUAGCGUUGUUCGGAAUUACUGGGCGUAAAGGGCGCGUAGGCGGUCUGCUAAGUUGGAUGUGAAAACUCUGGGCUUAACCCAGAGCCUGCAUUCAAAACUGACAGGCUAGAGUUCUGGAGGGGAUAGCGGAAUUCCUGGUGUAGCGGUGAAAUGCGUAGAUAUCAGGAGGAGCACCGGUAGCGAAGGCGGCUAUCUGGACAGAAACUGACGCUGAGGCGCGAAAGCUAGGGGAGCAAACAGGAUUAGAUACCCUAGUAGUCC
rnacentral:rRNA from 1 species